CGAUCUACAGUAUUGAAAAAAUUAUCUAUUGUUGAAAAAGCGCUCGAGAAAAAUACAGAUUCCAAGGAAUUAUUAAAAUUAAAGCUAUAUUUUAUGACAGAGUUGACUCCGUCUGAUGAACUAUCGAAUCAAUUAGAGGUAUUAGUCGAUAAAGAUUCAGGGAAUAUUAUGCUGUGGCAACACUAUCAUGGUCACACAAGGUUCAGUAGCAUCGUGUACUGUACCCCGAGUAUUGGAUUUAUAUUCAAAAUGCUUCUGUGUUUUGAGACAGCGCUCAAGAACAAAUCCUUCCAUUUAUGAUGCACAGUUGCUGCAUAUGCCGUAUCGAUGCUUGAUUUUCCUGAGACAAACAGGAUUAUGGGAACAAAUGUGGGAAACGAUACGUUUAAAUCUAAAUUUGAAUCUAAACUUAAACAAAACUAGUUUCUUUUCGAGGAUCUAUAGAUGAAAAAAAAUUAACUAAGAAAUUUUCAAGUUAUUUACUUAUGCCAAAUCAUUGACAUUAUGUAAUAAGUUAAUGAUAAUUAUUGAGGAGUUGGAAUGGAAGAAAUGAUAUCGAUGUCACGAUUACCAUUAAAUCAACUAUGGCAAAGAACUGAGUCAUUGAGA